rnacentral:lncRNA from 1 species
GUGAUUCUCACCUCUGUGCUUCUCCUCAACAUGCUGAUUGCCCUCAUGACUGAGACCGUCAAUAUGGCGUCCUCCAGGAAUGAGAAAAUCUGGCGUGUACAGAGAGCCAUCACUAUCUUGGACCUGGAGAGGUGUCUGCCCGAGGCCUGGCGGUGGUGGCUUCAGGAAGGCAAGAUUCACUCUAACCUGGAGGUGGGGCUGACCCCGAGCCAAGAAAGAGACCUGAGGAUAUGCUUGCGGGUGAAUGAAAGGAGACGGGCAAGGGCCGCCGGGAGGAAUCAAGUCAUGGGCAUCAGUGAAGACCCCCGCUGUCCCCACAGGUACUGAGGCCAGGGCAGGUGGUGCCAGCCUGGGCUGAGGACAGGGGUGGGGGGUAGCC